GACGAACGCUGGCGGCGUGCUUAACACAUGCAAGUCGAGCGGUAAGGCCCUUUCGGGGGUACGACGAGCGGCGAACGGGUAGAGUAACACGUGGGUGGACCUCGCCCUUACGUCUCUGGGAGUAAGACCUCGGGAAACGUAGGGUCGUAAUACCGGAGUAUGACUCCAUGACGCAUGUUGUGGGGUGGGAAAGCCUUGUGCGG
rnacentral:rRNA from 1 species